AUACGGAGGGGGCUAGCGUUGUUCGGAAUUACUGGGCGUAAAGCGCGCGUAGGCGGUCUGUCGAGUUGGGUGUGAAAUCCCAGGGCUCAACCCUGGAACUGCAGUGGAAACUGCUGAACUUGAGUUUUAGAGAGGUGAGGGGAAUUCCUGGUGUAAUAGUGAAAUAUGUAGAGAUCAGGAGGAAUACCGAUGGCGAAGGCACCUCACUGGCUGAAGACUGACGCUGAACUGCGAAAGCUAGGGUAGCAAACAGGAUUAGAAACCCCAGUAGUCC
rnacentral:rRNA from 1 species